UGGGUCUGAUGAUUUUAUAAUACUACACCAACUAUAAAAUAGAAGUCUGUCUGUCUGUUCUGCAUACGUUUAAUGUUGUUUUUUCAAGCUUAGAUUGUCUCAACUGAUUUCCGUUAAGUUUGAUAUUUAUAAAACAAAGAUCCUUGUUGAAAAAAAAACAUUGAUAAAAAAACGGCAGAAAAACAACUGACAUAUUCCUGACUUUAGCAUAGUCAUAUUCCUUAACUAAAUGGGGUGUUUAAUCUCGCUUUCUUUCUUGGAUAUUUAUUUGUCUAAAAGUCCAACUGAAGCAGUGAAAUACACAUGUUUAUUCACAGCAACGGUUCUUGAGCUUCAACGUUCGCUAUGUGAAGCAGUUAAAAUGCCAGUAAAACAGGUCGUCAUCGAUUUGAGAGUCAAAAGAUGGUUUGUAAUACCUGAUUCCAUAAAUCACUAGAUCAACUGCUCAAACGAAUGAUAAAGAACUAAUGUUUG
rnacentral:lncRNA from 1 species